UCUCUCUCUCACUCUGUCUCUUCAUCUCCCUCGCGACUCCUCGGUGUCUCCUCACACUCCGGCGAAGCGGGUGGCGUGGUGAUGAUCCGGAGCACGCCACGGUGACCGACAUCUGCACGUCGACCAGGUCGGUACCCUAUGCUCGUUUACAGAAGUUGAGUUUGCAUUUGCGUUGUAGAUUGUAGAGCUAUGGUUUGGGGAGGGGGGGAAUUGGGGUUUUCUGGGUGGCGGCGAUUUAGGGUGAAGUGUUGUCGUAGAGGUGUUCUGGGCGUAGUGGAUGGGCAUGGUGUGACUAUUUUUGUUGAUGUUCAUCCUUUUGGUUGCUGCGAUUGUUAGCUAGGGUUUAAAAAAAUUCGAUUUUCAAGUGGUUGUGUUCAUCUGAUGGCUUGUAUGUUGAUGGCAACAGGAUGGAUGAACACAUUUGCAUAAGUUUCCACUUUGGUGGUACAUUUACUAAGGUGGGAGGCGCUCUGUUCUAUGUUGGAGGAGACAAUGCUGAGUCAUGGAUCGAUG
rnacentral:lncRNA from 1 species